UUCCUUGUGGCCCAAUGGCAAGGCGUUCGCCUACGAUCAUUCUGGUUGCAUAGCGAAAGAUUCCAGGUUCGACCCCUGGCAAGGAAG
rnacentral:tRNA from 1 species